UGGGUGCUGAUGCUAACUGACUGGGUAAUGAUGCUAACUGACUGGGUAAUGAUGCUAACUGACUGGGUACUGAUGCUAACUGACUGGGUGCUAAUGCUAACUGACCAGGUACUGAUGCUAACUGACUGGGUACUGAUGCUAACUGACUGGGUGCUAAUGCUAACUGACUGGGUACUGAUGCUAACUGACUGGGUACUGAUGCUAACUGACUGGGUACUGAUGCUAACUGACUGGGUGCUAAUGCUAAUUGACCAGGUACUGAUGCUAACUGACUGGGUGCUAAUGCUAAUUGACCGGGUACUGAUGCUAACUGACUGG